UACAGCAAAUUUAAUAAAUUCCAACAUGCCCAAACUUCCUGAUUUCCAUUGUCCACUGUGGUAUCGUGCAGACUUCAAGAGCAGGAGAUAACUCGCCAGGCCGCCCUGCCCACCUUCGAGGCGCUCCUGGCAGGUGCUGCCAACCUUCUUGGACCCCUCCCCGGAUGUCCCCAGGUGCCAGAGACUGGAGCACAGCUCCCCGUUCUCCAUCCCUGCUGCACACCACACGUCCCACCCUCGUCACUGUACUGGGGUUCCUGCUCCCUGUUCCAUCACAGUGAUGUUGCUGGGCCCUGCAUCCUUCCUGGGGUGAGUCUGCCUGGCUGGGGCGGCGACAGAGGGAACGCGCAGGACAGCCCAAGCAAGCCCCGCUCCCAGAGCAGCCUGGGUGAGCCCCUGAGCUGCAUGACUCAGGAUUCAGAGCGAAGGUUAGAUCACGAGCACCCUAGGGGGCUGGAAUCGUGCGCCCCAAGAGAUGCGCC
rnacentral:lncRNA from 1 species